GACGGGACCGCACAAGCAGCGGAGCGUGUGGUUUAAUUCGAUGUUACACGAAGAACUUACCAGGUUUGACAUGCAAGUGGUAGCGAAGCGAAAGCGGAGCGACCCUUCGGGAGCUUGCACAGGUGCUGCAUGGCUGUCGUCAGCUCGUGUCGUGAGAUGUUCGGUUAAGUCCGCUAACGAGCGCAACCCUCGUCGUGUGUUACAAGUGUCACGCGAGACCGCCGGUCAUAAACCGGAGGAAGGUGGGAUGACGUCAAGUCAGCAUGGCCUUUAUGUCCUGGGCUACACACACGCUACAAUGGCCAGUACAAUUGGUAGCUAAGCCGCGAGGUGGAGCCAAUCCGUAAAAGCUGGCCUCAGUUCAGAUUGUAGGCUGCAACCCGCCUGCAUGAAGAUGGAGUUGCUAGUAACCGCAGGUCAGCAAUACUGCGGUGAAUACGUUCCCGGGUCUU
rnacentral:rRNA from 1 species